GUACACGCUGUGACUAGCAUAUCAAUAAGCGGAGGAAAAGUCAACUACCUACGCUUAGGAUGUUGACACACGCGCGUGCUCGAUGAUAGUCUAUACAUGACUCUGUGCAUAUCAAUAAGCGGAGGAAAAGAAACUAACAAGGAUUCCCCUAGUAACGGCGAGUGAAGCGGGAAGAGCUCAAAUUUGAAAUCUUAAUGGGUUUCCCUUUACGAAUUGUAGUUUAAAGAAGUGUUUUCUGUUGAGGUUUUGGUAAAAGUUCUUUGGAAUAGGACAUCAUAGAGGGUGAGAAUCCCGUAUUUGACCUUUACUUUCAACUUUGUGAUACACUUUCAAAGAGUCGGAUUGUUUGGGAAUGCAGUCCAAAAUGGGUGGUAAAUUUCAUCUAAAGCUAAAUAUUGGCGAGAGACCGAUAGCGAACAAGUACCGUGAGGGAAAGAUGAAAAGAACUUUGAAAAGAGAGUUAAACAGUACGUGAAAUUGUCAAAAGGGAAGCGUUUGACACCAGUGUUGUUUUUCUGAAAAUCAAUUAAAGAACUGUUUAUGCUAAGCUUGUUUAGACUUUAUCAGCUAAUCUGUUUAGUUUUGAGGCUUUUCUUUAAUGCACUUUUCAGUUAACAAGUCAACAUCAAUUUCUUUUGCUGUGAAAAAAGCUUGAGGAAGGUGGCUUGAGAUUCGUCUUAAGUGUUUAUAGCCUCUUGCCUAUGCAGUCGGAGAGAUUGAGGUCUGCAGCGUAGAUCCUUCGGGGCUAAAUGCAUUUGUGCUAAGUUAUAGCAUUUUAUAGACAACUUGUUGACUAUGAUUUGUCGUGUAGCUUACUCGCUUAUGUUAUUUUACCUACGCUUAGGAUGUUGAGUCGUAGAGCACGCAG
rnacentral:rRNA from 1 species